rnacentral:rRNA from 1 species
CCCUUAGAUGUUCUGGGCUGCACGCGUACUACAAUGGAACUCGCAUCGAGUCGCGAAACUGAGAAGUUAAGCGAAUCUUGGAAUGUGUUCCGUGACCGGGACAGUUGAUUGCAAUUAUUCAACUCGAACGAGGAAUUCCUUGUAAUCGUGAUUCAUCAUAUCGCGAUGAAUACGUCCCUGCCCUUUGUACACACCGCCCGUCGCUACUACCGAUUGAACGUUUUAGUGAGGUACUCGGACUGAGCCUCAGAAGAUUCACGUCUUUUGUGCUGCUCGGGAAGAUUCCCAAACUUGAGCGUUUAGAGGAAGUAAAAGUCGUAACA